rnacentral:sRNA from 1 species
AAGGAAGAAUAGGAGAGGGAAAAUAAUGGAGCUAAUGAAGAGGAAUAUUAUUGUCAAAUACAUAUUUUUUUCCUUUUCGUUUUAGGCUUAUUCUACUUUUGUUUU